GACGAACGCUGGCGGCGUGCUUAACACAUGCAAGUCGAACGGAAAGGCCCUGCUUUUGUGGGGUGCUCGAGUGGCGAACGGGUGAGUAACACGUGAGUAGCCUGCCCUUGACUUUGGGAUAACUUCAGGAAACUGGGGCUAAUACCGGAUAGGAGCUCCUGCUGCAUGGUGGGGGUUGGAAAGUUUCGGCGGUUGGGGAUGGACUCGCGGCUUAUCAGCUUGUUGGUGGGGUAGUGGCUUACCAAGGCUUUGACGGGUAGCCGGCCUGGGAGGGUGACCGGCCACAUUGGGACUGAGAUACGGCCCAGACUCCUACGGGAGGCAGCAGUGGGGAAUAUUGCACAAUGGGCGGAAGCCUGAUGCAGCAACGCCGCGUGCGGGAUGACGGCCUUCGGGUUGUAAACCGCUUUCGCCUGUGACGAAGCGUGAGUGACGGUAAUGGGUAAAGAAGCACCGGCUAACUACGUG
rnacentral:rRNA from 1 species